rnacentral:rRNA from 1 species
GACGAACGCUGGCGGCGUGCCUAAUACAUGCAAGUCGAGCGGACGAAUCGAAAGCUUGCUUUUGAUUCGUUAGCGGCGGACGGGUGAGUAACACGUGGGCAACCUGCCCUUUAGACGGGGAUAACACCGAGAAAUCGGUGCUAAUACCGGAUAACACGAAAUGUCGCAUGACGCUUCGUUGAAAGACGGCGCAAGCUGUCGCUACAGGAUGGGCCCGCGGCGCUUUAGCAAGUUGGUGAGGGAACGGCUUACCAAGGUGACGAUGCGAAGCCGACCUGAGGGGGUGAUCGGCCACACGGGGACUGAGACACGGCCCAGACUCCUACGGGAGGCAGCAGUAGGGAAUCUUCCGCAAAGGACGAAAGUCUGACGGAGCAACGCCGCGUGAGCGAAGAAGGCCUUCGGGUCGUAAAGCUCUGUUGUUAGGGAAGAACAAGUAACGCAGUAACUGGCGUUACCGUGACGGUACCUAACGAGAAAGCCACGGCUAACUACGUG